rnacentral:rRNA from 1 species
CAGUAGCCGCGGGAAUACGUAGGGUGCGAGCGUUAAUCGGAAUUACUGGGCGUAAAGCGUGCGCAGGCGGUUGUGUAAGACAGGUGUGAAAUCCCCGGGCUUAACCUGGGAACUGCGCUUGUGACUGCACAGCUAGAGUAUGGCAGAGGGGGGUGGAAUUCCACGUGUAGCAGUGAAAUGCGCAGAUAUGCGGAGGAACACCGAUGGCGAAGGCAGCCCCCUGGGCCAACACUGACGCUCAUGCACGAAAGCGUGGGGAGCAAACAGGAUUAGAUACCCGCGUAGUCCCUGUCUCUUAUAC